CCGGGUGUAGCGCAGUUUUGGUAGCGCGCUUGAAUGGGGUUCAAGAGGCCGCAGGUUCAACUCCUGUCACUCGGACCA
rnacentral:tRNA from 6 species